UACGUAGGGUGCGAGCGUUAAUCGGAAUUACUGGGCGUAAAGCGUGCGCAGGCGGUUUUGUAAGCCAGAUGUGAAAUCCCCGGGCUCAACCUGGGAAUGGCAUUUGGGACUGCAAGGCUGGAGUUUGGCAGAGGAGACUGGAAUUCCUGGUGUAGGCGGUGGAAUGCGCAGAGUAUCAGGAGGAACACCGGUGGCGAAGGCGGGUCUCUGGGCAGUGAACU
rnacentral:rRNA from 1 species